rnacentral:rRNA from 1 species
UACGUAGGGUGCGAGCGUUGCCCGGAUUUAUUGGGCGUAAAGGGCGCGCAGGCGGCCACGCACGUCCGUUGUGAAAUCGCCCGGCUCAACUGGGCGGGGUCAGCGGAUACGGCGUGGCUGGAGCAAGCUAGGGGGCAAUGGAAUUCCCGGUGUAGUGGUGGAAUGCGUAGAUAUCGGGAGGAACACCAGUGGCGAAGGCGGUUGCCUGGAGCUUUGCUGACGCUGAUGCGCGAAAGCGUGGGGAGCGAUCCGG